CCUACGGGAGGCAGCAGUGGGGAAUUUUGGACAAUGGGCGAAAGCCUGAUCCAGCAAUGCCGCGUGUGGGAAGAAGGCCUUCGGGUUGUAAACCACUUUUGUACGGAACGAAACGGUUCGCUUUAGUACAGUGGGCUAAUGACGGUACCGUAAGAAUAAGCACCGGCUAACUACGUGCCAGCAGCCGCGGUAAUACGUAGGGCGCGAGCGUUAAUCGGAAUUACUGGGCGUAAAGCGUGCGCAGGCGGUCAUAUAAGACAGUUGUGAAAUCCCCGGGCUCAACCUGGGAAUUGCAUCUGUGACUGUAUAGCUAGAGUACGGUAGAGGGGGAUGGAAUUCCGCGUGUAGCAGUGAAAUGCGUAGAUAUGCGGAGGAACACCGAUGGCGAAGGCAAUCCCCUGGACCUGUACUGACGCUCAUGCACGAAAGCGUGGGGAGCAAACAGGAUUAGAUACCCUGGUAGUCCACGCCCUAAACGAUGUCAACUGGUUGUUGGGUGCAUUAGUACUCAGUAACGAAGCUAACGCGUGAAGUUGACCGCCUGGGGAGUACGGCCGCAAGGUUGAAACGUCAAAGGAAUUGACGG
rnacentral:rRNA from 1 species